GCUCCUUUAGCUCAGUGGUAGAGCGUGGGAUUGCAGUUACACAGCUCAAUCAUCCUAAGGUCGCUUGUUCGAACCAGGCAGGGAGCU
rfam:Hortaea werneckii EXF-2000 unitig_7, whole genome shotgun sequence.